rnacentral:tRNA from 1 species
GCCCUUGUACCGUCGCAGGCCUUCUAUCCUGACAGACGUAACGGAUGAUGCGAGUUCGAAUCUCGCCAAGGGCUCCA